UACGUAGGUGGCAAGCGUUAUCCGGAAUUAUUGGGCGUAAAGCGCGCGCAGGCGGUUUCUUAAGUCUGAUGUGAAAGCCCACGGCUCAACCGUGGAGGGCCAUUGGAAACUGGGGAACUUGAGUGCAGAAGAGAAAAGCGGAAUUCCACGUGUAGCGGUGAAAUGCGUAGAGAUGUGGAGGAACACCGGUGGCGAAGGCGGCUACCUGGCCCAACAUUGACGCUGAGACCCGAAAGCAUGGGGAUCAAACGGG
rnacentral:rRNA from 1 species